UACGUAGGGGGCGAGCGUUGUCCGGAGUUACUGGGCGUAAAGGGCGUGCAGGCGGUGCGGUAAGUUUAGAGUGACAGUCUUCGGCUUAACUGGAGAAGGCCUCUGAAAACUGCCGGACUUGAGGGCCAGAGAGGGACAUAGAAUUCCGGGUGGAGUGGUGAAAUGCGUAGAUAUCUGGAAGAACACCGGUGGCGCAAGCGGCUUGCUGGGCUGUAACUGACACUGAGGAACGAAAGCUAGGGUAGCGAAUGGG
rnacentral:rRNA from 1 species